UACGUAGGGUGCGAGCGUUAAUCGGAAUUACUGGGCGUAAAGCGUGCGCAGGCGGGCUUUUAAGCCAGACGUGAAAUCCCCGGGCUUAACCUGGGAAUGGCGUUUGGGACUGGAAGUCUGGAGUGCGGCAGAGGAGACUGGAAUUCCUGGUGUAGCAGUGAAAUGCGUAGAUAUCAGGAGGAACACCGAUGGCGAAGGCAGGUCUCUGGGCUGACACUGAUGAGCGAAAGCGUGGGGAGCGAUCCGG
rnacentral:rRNA from 1 species